AUGCUCUUGUUUUCAGUUCCACACAUCUUCCCCAGAGGGAACAUCAGUUUUGCUUAUGAAGAGAAUCGAACAGAACUACAAACUACUCAAAGCUUGCCUGAAGCUACAACUACUUUUCCUGCAGCAAGCACAAUAAAAGCUAAGAUUCCUCCCAAGGCCCCCAGGUGGGAAGGAUAUGAGGGGAGUGAUUACUGGUUUUCAGAAGACAUGGCCAGCUGGCUCAACAGCCGAACCACGUGCAAAACUUGGAAUUCAGAACUCGUGAUCAUCAAUGACAGAAAGGAACUGGAGUUUAUUUCUAACAAAACAAGGAUGGCUGAUUAUUUCAUUGGACUGACAUAUAUGGAGCCUGAAGAACAACAGCCAGCAAGAUGGCAGUGGAAUGAUGGUCGUGAACUCGAGAGGAGCUUUGCUGAUGGGUGCACCAUAUCCAACACAUGGCAAUCUCUCCUACUGGGUAUGAAAGAUUUGAAAUGUGACGCUUUAUUCUGCCUUUAAAGGGCUGGAUUCCAAGAAGGACAGAUGUAUCUCUUGUACAUUUAGCAGUUGCACUGAAGGAAGGGAUUUCAAGAACAUGAAGUUACUAAACACCCGUGCGACCAAUUAGACCAGCGUUCCCUCUUCUGUAUUAAUGGGAAAUGUCUCUUCCUGAAGAUGUUCCACAGAGGUUACAACAUUUACACCAUAUGUGGAUUGCAGACCCAUCCACCCAUUAUUAGUAGGGUAAUUGAAGGUUUCUUUUGUAUUAAAAGUAAUAGCUAAAGAGGUCUAGUUUUUAGAAGAGGAUCACUGUACAAAAAUGAACUGCCACAAGCAUGCACUGAAUUUAGGCCCAGUCAAACUGUGAUUCAAAUCUAUUGAGCCAUGAGAUAUUUGCUCUCCACUGGAGUUAAAGAGUCAGAAGUUUUAAAAUGCUCACCAACUUCUGAGCUACUUUUCCCUUUCAAGGCAAAUCAACAUUACAGAUGCUACUAGGAAUUGUAUUUGUCCGUAUCCCAAACCAGGUCUUUUCUGACUGCUUAUGUUGAUUAAAAUAAAUUGGGUUGUGGUUUUUUUUCUGGCGUAUAC
rnacentral:lncRNA from 1 species